GUCUCCAUAGUGUAGUGGUUAGCACACCUGCUUUAUACGCAGAAGGUCCUGGGUGCACGCCCCAGGUGGAGCCA
rfam:Pteropus alecto contig31225, whole genome shotgun sequence.